GAUGAACGCUGGCGGCGUGCAUAACACAUUCAAGUCGAACGGAGCAGCAAUGCUUAGUGGCGGACGGGUGAGUAACGCGUGAGCAACCUGCCCUUGUGUGGGGGAUAACGUUUGGAAACGAACGCUAAUACCGCAUAACAUAUUCGGACGGCAUCGUCUGAAUAUCAAAGGAGCAAUCCGCUGAAAGAUGGCCUCGCACCUGAUUAGAUAGUUGGUGGGGUAACGGCCUACCAAGUCGACGAUCAGUAGCCGGACUGAGAGGUUGAACGGCCACAUUGGGACUGAGACACGGCCCAGACUCCUACGGGAGGCAGCAGUGGGGGAUAUUGGACAAUGGGGGCAACCCUUAUCCAGCGACGCCGCGUGAGGGAAGAAGGUUUUCGGAUUGUAAACCUCUGUCAGUGGGGACGAUAAUGACGGUACCCACGGAGGAAGCCACGGCUAACUACGUG
rnacentral:rRNA from 1 species